rnacentral:rRNA from 1 species
UUUAUGGAGAGUUUGAUCCUGGCUCAGGAUGAACGCUGGCGGCGUGCUUAACACAUGCAAGUCGAACGUGAAGAGAGUUUUCGGAUUCUCUGAAAGUGGCGAACGGGUGAGUAACACGUAGAUAACCUGCCCUGGAGUGGGGGAUAACCAUUGGAAACGAUGGCUAAUACCGCAUGAAUCUGCACUUACGGGAGUGAGAGUAGAGAAAACUCUGGUGCUACAGGAGGGGUCUGCGUCCGAUUAGCUAGUUGGCGGGGUAAAGGCC